UCCCCUUUCCCAAUUUCUAUUCACGAUUCCUUCUCAUGAUGGGUCGUUCAAAAGGAUCACCCCAGACAUUUGAGUUACAAACCAGUACGACCAAUUUGAUUCCAGCUGCCUGUUCCCACUCCCAUCUGAGGAUGCUUCAAGCCUCACAUCUAAAAAUCUCACUGGUAGACACUAGGUUUCUAAUUUGCUCUAACCACUAACCUAUAUUUUUCUUAUUUCUGUAAAAGGACCUCUUAUUAAUUACCUAAUUGCUUACUAAACAGAGUCUAUAUGAUGGCUAAACACCACCUGCUACACAGUGAAGGACUUAAGUGGCUCUCAAAGUAACAUUAUAUUAUUAAAUGCUAAAAUACCUCAUAUGCAUACAGCCAUUCUACAAAAUAGAAUGGCAUUAGAUGUUUUAGCUGCUGUACAAGGUGGAACUUGAGCUGUCAUAAAAACGAAAUGCGGCGUAUACAUUCCAGAUGAACACAAAAAUAUUUUUGGAUUUCUAACUGCCGUGGAUAUUCGAAUUGGCACUUUAAACAAUCCCUCUCUUCCCUUUCGUGAUUGGUUAAACUCCUAGACUAGAGGAUUCUUGUCAACCACCAAGGGACUUUUAUUUGGGCUAAUCUUUCUAGUUAUUCUCAUUAUCUUUGGCUGUUUUCUCCCAUGUCUCUGUCUCUCUGCCUGGUGCCAAGACUCCAUCACUGCAGGAACUUCAAGCCAACAGACGAUCCUUUCUACUCAAGAAGGUUCAUCCACGUUGUCCGCCUUGGAUUCUGCUGCCUCCACCUUAACUCCCCUGUAUGUUCCCUGACCAAUAUUGACCCAUAAAGUAGUCUCCAUGCUCAACGUGUGGCUCGAAAUCACGACCCUGAGAUCAAGAGUCACAUGCUCCACCGACUGAGCCAACCAGGCCAGGCAAACAUUUCUAAGCAGAGAAAGAGAGAGCACGCAGACAAUGGGGAGAGACAGAGAAACAUAAGCAGGCUCCACACUCAGCGCAAAGCUCAACGUGGGGAUCAAUCCCAUGUCUCUGGGAUCACGACCUGAGCCAAAAUCAUGAGUCGGACCCUCAACCGACUGAGCCACCUGGGCACCCCUUGAGAGACUACUUUGGAAGCCAGAUCAUGGACGACCAAGUUCACUGCCUCAACUGCCCCAAACCAAAGUGCCCUUUGUGGCCACCUGUAGUCAGGUUCUGGGAAUACAGCGUCGAACCAAAGACACAAACACCUCUGUCGGCACGGAGCUUACUUUCUACCGGUGGGGACACAGGCAAUAAGCCAAGCAGAUAAGGAUAUUACGAGGUGGUAAGAGCUAAAGGGGAAACAUGGAGCAGAGACAUGGUGUAAAAUGUUUCCAGGAGAGGGGGAAGAGACGAAAUUUUAGUUAGAAUGUGCAGUAAAGACCUCCUGGUGAAUUGGUUUGGAGUAGAGGCCAGAAGAAAGUGAGAGGACAAGCCUUUACAGAUACCUUGGGGCAGGGCUCUCCAAACAGAAACAAUAGCUACGCAAUUUCUACCCCUGAGCACAGCACGUAGAUCAUGGGGGACAAAUGAAGAACCAUGUAAGCCACCCAUAUGUUGCUUCCAUGGCACAUAGCUUUGAUGAGUCGAUGAGCGCUUUCCCACAGUACCCAGAUGUGGCCUUGGAAUCCUCUCGAACACAGCUUGUAUUAACUUGCCAUUGCUGCCAUAACAAACCGCCACAAACUCAGUCACUCAACACGAAUUUCUUAUCUCCCGGUUCUGUAGGUCAGCAGUCUAGGUAAUAUGUCGCUCCGUGGAUCCGUUGUGUACAAUGUCACAGGGCUGACAGGGUGCCUGGAUGGCUCAGUCGGUUAAGCGUCUGA